GAUGAAGAACGUAGCGAAAUGCGAUAAGUAAUGUGAAUUGCAGAAUUCAGUGAAUCAUCGAAUCUUUGAACGCACAUUGCGCCCGCCAGUAUUCUGGCGGGCAUGCCUGUUCGAGCGUCAUUUCAACCAUCAAGCCCCGGGCUUGUGUUGGGGACCUGCGGCUGCCGCAGGCCCUGAAAAGCAGUGGCGGGCUCGCUGUCACACCGAGCGUAGUAGCAUACAUCUCGCUCUGGGCGUGCUGCGGGUUCCGGCCGUUAAACCACCUUUUAACCCAAGGUUGACCUCGGAUCAGGUAGGAAGACCCGCUGAACUUAAGCAUAUAAUAAGCGGAGGA
rnacentral:misc_RNA from 1 species